AGAGUUUGAUCCUGGCUCAGCCUGAACGCUGGCGGCGUGGCUAAGACAUGCAAGUCGUACGGGUGUAGCAAUACACCAGUGGCGAACGGGUGAGUAAUGAAUCGCUAAUGUGCCCCGGACUCUGGGAUAGCCGGUCGAAAGGCCGGGUAAUACCAGAUGACAUAACUUUAUCGCAUGAUAAGGUUCUCAAAGGUCCGCUGGUCUGGGAGCAGGCGAUUUUGUAUCAGCUAGUUGGUGAGGUAACGGCUCACCAAGGCGACGACGCAUAGCCGGACUGAGAGGUUGGCCGGCCACAUUGGGACUGAGACACUGCCCAGACUCCUACGGGGGGCUGCAGUAACGAAUCUUCCACAAUGCACGAAAGUGUGAUGGAGCGACGCCGCGUGUAGGAUGAAGUCCUUCGGGAUGUAAACUACUGUCAGGGGUUACCAAGUUCUGAGGAGCCCCAGAGGAAGGCACGGCUAACUCUGUGCCAGCAGCCGCGGUAAGACAGAGGUGCCAAGCGUUAAGCGGAAUCACUGGGCUUAAAGCGUGUGUAGGUGGGUCGUUAAGUACCUGGUGAAUUCCAUGGGCUAACCAUGGAACUGCUGGGUAUACUGCGAUCUGAGCCACCUAAGGCCAG
rnacentral:rRNA from 1 species